rnacentral:rRNA from 1 species
AGAGUUUGAUCCUGGCUCAGGAUGAACGCUAGCUACAGGCUUAACACAUGCAAGUCGAGGGGCAGCGGGGAGUCAGCUUGCUGACUUUGCCGGCGACCGGCGCACGGGUGAGUAACACGUAUCCAACCUUCCGUCUACUCAGGGAUAGCCUUUCGAAAGAAAGAUUAAUACCUGAUGGUAUGGUAAGAUUGCAUGAUAAUACCAUUAAAGAUUUAUCGGUAGACGAUGGGGAUGCGUUCCAUUAGGUAGUAGGCGGGGUAACGGCCCACCUAGCCUUCGAUGGAUAGGGGUUCUGAGAGGAAGGUCCCCCACAUUGGAACUGAGACACGGUCCAAACUCCUACGGGAGGCAGCAGUGAGGAAUAUUGGUCAAUGGACGGAAGUCUGAACCAGCCAAGUAGCGUGAAGGAUGAAGGUCCUACGGAUUGUAAACUUCUUUUAUACGGGAAUAAAACACUCUACGUGUAGAGUCCUGUAUGUACCGUAUGAAUAAGCAUCGGCUAACUCCGUGCCAGCAGCCGCGGUAAUACGGAGGAUGCGAGCGUUAUCCGGAUUUAUUGGGUUUAAAGGGAGCGCAGACGGGGAGUUAAGUCAGCUGUGAAAGUUUGCGGCUCAACCGUAAAAUUGCAGUUGAUACUGGCCCUCUUGAGUGCAGUUGAGGUAGGCGGAAUUCGUGGUGUAGCGGUGAAAUGCUUAGAUAUCACGAAGAACUCCGAUUGCGAAGGCAGCUUACUAAACUGUAACUGACGUUCAUGCUCGAAAGUGUGGGUAUCAAACAGGAUUAGAUACCCUGGUAGUCC